rnacentral:rRNA from 1 species
UACGGAGGGUGCAAGCGUUAAUCGGAAUUACUGGGCGUAAAGGGUGCGUAGGUGGUUGUAUAAGUUAUCUGUAAAAUCCCUGGGCUUAACCUGGGCAGGUCAGAUAAGACUGUACGACUCGAGUAUGGGAGAGGGUAGUGGAAUUUCCGGUGUAGCGGUGAAAUGCGUAGAGAUCGGAAGGAACACCAGUGGCGAAGGCGGCUACCUGGCCUAAUACUGACACUGAGGCACGAAAAGCGUGGGGGAGCAAACAG